UGAUCAAGCGGCGCCUGUCGGUGCAGG
rnacentral:piRNA from 1 species